AAUGGGCUUGACGUUCGAAGCCCAUUGGGCCUUAAGGUCCAAAACUAUCCCGAAGUCUUUAACGAACUUAUUCAUUUGAUUAAUUAACAUAUUAAUUAAUCCUUGCCAUAAAUAAAUGAUUAAACCAUUUAAUCAUUCUUACUCAUUUCCGUUUAAUCUUCAAUCUCCACCUUUUAUGGUGUGCGAUCCAUUAGGUUCCUUUUAGCGAGGUAGUGGGCGAUUAAAACCAUUUUACAUCGAUUGUGAAUUGAAACUAUAUUCAAUUCUCCCUUUAGUGAUUACACACGUUUAGGGCUUCCACAAACCAUGAGUGACACCUAGCAGCAUAUC
rnacentral:lncRNA from 1 species